GUGGGGAAUAUUGGACAAUGGGCGAAAGCCUGAUCCAGCCAUGCCGCGUGUGUGAAGAAGGUCUUCGGAUUGUAAAGCACUUUAAGUUGGGAGGAAGGGCAGUAAGUUAAUACCUUGCUGUUUUGACGUUACCAACAGAAUAAGCACCGGCUAACUUCGUGCCAGCAGCCGCGGUAAUACGAAGGGUGCAAGCGUUAAUCGGAAUUACUGGGCGUAAAGCGCGCGUAGGUGGUUCAGCAAGUUGAAGGUGAAAUCCCCGGGCUCAACCUGGGAACUGCCUCCGAAACUACUGAGCUAGAGUACGGUAGAGGGUAGUGGAAUUUCCUGUGUAGCGGUGAAAUGCGUAGAUAUAGGAAGGAACACCAGUGGCGAAGGCGACUACCUGGACUGAUACUGACACUGAGGUGCGAAAGCGUGGGGAGCAAACAGGAUUAGAUACCCGAGUAGUCC
rnacentral:rRNA from 1 species